AAAACAAACACACAAAAGAAACAAACAGACUCACAGUAUACAUGCUAAAUCCAAUUUUUUUUUACAGUGUUUGCUUUUUCAUAGACUGGGGCUGUCGGUUUUUCGUAAUGGACGAAAAUCAGUGGCAUAAUAGAUAGGGGCAACCACCCUUUAUAGAAAAUCCCACUCACUGUUCUGCCUCAUUUAAGGGUAACGUGUUCUCAUUUGGGGUAAAUUCCUUGGCUUGAAAGCAAAAUCAUUGGCUUAUCUUAGAAGACACUAGAAAUCCCCCAAAAUAAGCAGGAACUCUACUAAAA
rnacentral:misc_RNA from 1 species